rnacentral:rRNA from 1 species
UACGUAGGGACCGAGCGUUGUCCGGAAUCAUUGGGCGUAAAGAGCGUGUAGGCGGCCACUUAAGUCCUGCGUGAAAUCCUGCGGCUCAACCGCAGGCGGUCGUGGGAAACUGGGUGGCUAGAGUGCGGGAGAGGAGAGUGGAAUUCCUGGUGUAGCGGUGGAAUGCGCAGAUAUCAGGAAGAACACCAGUGGCGAAGGCGGCUCUCUGGAACGCAACUGACGCUGAGACGCGAAAGCGUGGGGAGCAAACAGG